ensembl:lncRNA
CUGGCCCAGGGAAGCAGCUCCUCACCACUGUAACUUCUGGUUUGUAGCUGUGUAAACCGAGACAGGAUAUAGAUACAUCCUGUCUGAGUUAACAGCAAGAAAUAGGGCCUCACAGUGGGGUUCCUGCCAUAAAUCAGAACCCAUCUGAGAGUAAUCUAGAAUGGUAUGCAAGUCAGGGCUGCAUCCCCAUCAGCCCCGGAGGGAGGGAAGUGUCUGAAACAGGAACCCUGGAGAACUUUGAAGAGUGGGGGUGGAGUGAGCUGUCCUCUUCAGGCACUGAGGUUGCAGCCUGCACUUUCUCAGUGACUGUGCUGAAGUGAUCACAGUGGCUUCAGUCUUCUGUCUCCUUGACCCAGGCCCUGCACCCAGGAGGAAGUCACAGGUUCAAGGCUUACUUAAGAAGAAAGGGAUCCUGCAAAGAGUAUUUAAAGACACACUUUCACUGUCUGCUGAUGGCUGUUGACCACUGGGAGACUCCUGCCACUCUUAUCUUUGUAUGUAGCAAG